GACGAACGCUGGCGGCGUGCUUAACACAUGCAAGUCGAACGGAAAGGCCCUGCUUUUGUGGGGUGCUCGAGUGGCGAACGGGUGAGUAACACGUGAGUAACCUGCCCUUGACUUUGGGAUAACUUCAGGAAACUGGGGCUAAUACCGGAUAGGAGCUCCUGCUGCAUGGUGGGGGUUGGAAAGUUUCGGCGGUUGGGGAUGGACUCGCGGCUUAUCAGCUUGUUGGUGGGGUAGUGGCUUACCAAGGCUUUGACGGGUAGCCGGCCUGAGAGGGUGACCGGCCACAUUGGGACUGAGAUACGGCCCAGACUCCUACGGGAGGCAGCAGUGGGGAAUAUUGCACAAUGGGCGGAAGCCUGAUGCAGCAACGCCGCGUGCGGCAUGACGGCCUUCGGGUUGUAAACCGCUUUCGCCUGUGACGAAGCGUGAGUGACGGUAAUGGGUAAAGAAGCACCGGCUAACUAUGUG
rnacentral:rRNA from 1 species